GACAGAGGGUGCAAACGUUGUUCGGAAUUACUGGGCGUAAAGCGUGCGCAGGCGGUUUCUUAAGUCAGAUGUGAAAGCCCCGGGCUUAACCUGGGAACUGCGUUUGAAACUGGGAGACUUGAGUGUGGCAGAGGGGGGUGGAAUUCCACGUGUAGCAGUGAAAUGCGUAGAUAUGUGGAGGAACACCGAUGGCGAAGGCAGCCCCCUGGGUUAACACUGACGCUCAUGCACGAAAGCGUGGGGAGCAAACAGG
rnacentral:rRNA from 1 species